UUUUCUUGACUUUUCACUUUUACAGCAUUCAUGUGUCUGGGUACAAUAAAUGCUCUAGAUGCAAGUUCAAACAUACAGGUUCUGUUCACACACACUCCUCACCUUGUUAUGGGAUACAUCACCCAAGGUUCUGAUGUUCACAGGAAGUUCUGAUCAAUGGCAGGCCCUUCAUGAACACUGAGGGAUGACUGUCUCUCUUCUUCACUGUAUUAACUACAUAUCCCAUGACAUUAUCAAUAUCCACUUCCCUGACCCACGAUGGAAAUGCUGUAAGCUCUUCCAUGGCAGAGCCCUACCCUCUCCCUCUGCUGUUUUCCUGAGCCUAUGCUUGGCCUGUCAGACAGGGUCAGUGAAAGGACAGGCUCACAGAUCUCCUCAGACUGCCUCAUUUGGAAGGCACUCUUUGCAAUACCUGCCCAUCACCUUUCACAGUGAUUCCUGUUAAAAACUGUCUUCUGUCAUCUCAGGACCCUCACCCUUUCAUCCAGACCCCUGUCACUAUGCCUCUCCACCUUUGUCACUAAGUGCAUAUGGAAAAGGAAGUCAGGAGAGGUUGAGAGACUGGCUCAGCUCAUGAAUGGCAGAGUUGGAUUGCACCACUGGCUUAAGGUUCCUUCCACUGGGCUGUGCUUCUUCUUAGUUGAUUGUUCCUCAGAGCAGCAGCUGUGAAGAUUUUCCACUUUGGUAAUGGACCAUGACUUCUCUUCAGAGAUGCUGGCUGAGGAGCAAAGAGGAGAGACAUCUUGUCCCCAGAAGAUGCUUUUAACUUCGC
rnacentral:lncRNA from 1 species